CUGCCCUGUACUAAGGGGGAAUUCACACUAGGGACACACAGAACUCUAUAACACCCUAUAUCAGGGGUACUCAACUAUUCCUAGUGAGGGUCCACUUAUCCAGGUCUGCUACUGCCGCAUUGACAUGAAGGAAAUAGAUUUCAGAUUAUACAUGCCAGAAACAGGAUGACUUUAAUCAUUACUGAUCCUGGAUGAAAGGAUUUUCCUUGUAUUACAAUAUUCAUCGCUUAUUUCAUAAGUCGCAGCAAUGAGCAGUCAUGUGAGACAACAAGUAAUUACAUUGAGGAUUAUCUGAUUUCUUUGGCACGGAGCCAAAGCCAUUCCGCAGGAAGGAAAAGUCCAUGCCUUAGAUUUCCAACUCCUUACAAAAUACACUUCUGCUUUUGGCUGAAGAAGCUGAAUACAAAACUGCUGUUUUUCCAGACAAUGCUGUAUGUGAAUCCCCCAGUAGUUAAGACAAACAGUUUGAAAUAACUACAUUAAUAGCAAUUUAUUGUCCAUUUCCCACAAUUGUUGCCAGAUGAAUGAAUCAGAUUUCAGAAUUUGCAUAAAACUCCUAAUAAAGACUUGGUCACUUUUCUUCGCAUUCUACUUUCUUUUUAUUGUUACAGUUCUGUGAAUUUUAUACAAAUAAAAGAAGUAAAGGCAACAAACAAACAGAUAAAACAUGUAUUUUUUGCUUUUAAGUGCAUACGAAUUGAUUGUAAGAUGUUUCCAGGACGUCUGUACAGAAUCAAUUCUCUUGCCAUAGGUGAUGUAUAUCGACUGCAGUCUUCCAUAUGAUUAUUUGAUGAGAAUGUUACAUAAUAUAACGGUCUAGAAAAUAAAAUUAUCCAGUCAUUAAGACCAUUUUAUCUAAGUGUUCUUCCUGUUUUUGACAACAGUACAACAGUAAAUCUGGGGCCGUUCCAUUGUUAAGACGAUUCCUCUUUUGGUCCCUGUUGCAUAUGGUGUAAGGCUGGGUUCACACUUUUAUUGGCGGCUCUAACAGGUGCCUCCAUCCAAAAUGCUGCACUAUUUAGUCUGGUAAAAUACUGGACACCAUUCCUGCAAGCUCACGGACCCCAUUACAGUCAAUGGGGUAUGUCGGGUGCUGUUUAUGCCCAGCAUGGAGCAGAUCGACCAAUACAUUUUGUUCUGUUCCAAUGACAGAGCAGGACAACAGAAGGAACAAUGGUAAUGUGAAGCCAGGCAAAGUCUUAUUCUGCACAUACUUAGUGCCAAAUUUACUACAAGCCCUACUUUAUGUUUGGAACAUACUGAUUGCAAUUAUUAAAGGGGUUCUCCAGUGCUUACACAUCUUAUCCCCUAUCCAAAAAAUAGGGGAUCAGAUGCCUGAUCGCGGGAGUCCCGCAGCUGGGGACGCCCGGGAUCAUGCACGCGGCCCCCCGUUUGUAAUCAGUCCCUACAGGGCCGGCAGCGUGUGACGUCAUGCUCUGCCCCUCAAUGCAAGCUUACGGGAAAGGGCGUGUAGUCCCCGCCGGCCCUGUAGUCGCCCGUAAUCAGACACAGAGCGAACACGCUCCGCGGACUGAUUACAAACGGGGGGCCGCGUGCAUGAUCAGGCAUAGGGGAUAAGAUGUGUAAGCACCGGAGAACCCCUUUAAGAAUAGAAAGUCAUCAAUAGACUUGAAAAGAGGAUAAGUCCCAGUCUCUUUUUUAUUAGGCUAUGUUCACAUGACAGAAUGUCCAUGCAGAAUUCCGCAGGAAUAUUCAGCGCGGACAUUCCACUGCAGCAGAGCAACAUUGAUUAUACUGCACUGUACACGGGGCAUAAUUCCUGAUUCCUGAAUCCGCAGAAAGAAUAGUCUAUUCUUUCUGCAGAUUCCGCUCAGAAAUGCAUUUCUGAACAGUCCUAGUGCUUGCCGGAUUAUUCAGAUGUGCUUUCCAGGCGGACAUUCUGCACAUUUUUGGCCACCUAAGUGUUCUCAAUUUAUGAUCUAUUCCUGGCUCUGCAUUCAAUGAUUGCAAUUAAAAAACAAAAUGUGUAAACAAACCCUUAAAAUGAGUCGAUAUUAGUAUCAAAAGUAUAUCACUGCGUUCCUUUAAGGCUAUGUUCACACAGGAGAAUGUCCGCACAGAAAAUCCCUGUGUGGACAUUCCCCCUACAGUGGAGCGCCAGCAGAACAUGCCGAUGCUAGGACCACUCAGAAAUGCACCGUCUCAUAGAUGAGAAUGCAUUUCCAUGUGGACAUGUCUGUUCUUUGGGCAGACACCAGAUGUUUCCAGCACAGAAUUCCUGCUGUGUGAACAGCGCAGCAGAAUCCCAUUGAAAUCAAUGGGACUCUGCUGCUGCUGAAUCUUUGUGCGGAAUUCCAGUGUGGAAUUCUGCACGGAAAUUAUAUCGUGUGAACAUAGCCUUAACUCCUUGCCGCAAAUGGACAUAUAUAUACAUCCAUCU